UACAGAGGUCUCGAGCGUUGUUCGGAUUCAUUGGGCGUAAAGGGUGCGCAGGUGGCCAAGUGUGUGAGGCGUGAAAGCCUGGGGCUUAACUCCAGAAUUGCACCUCAAACUACAUGGCUAGAGCAUUGGAGAGGGGAGCAGAAUUCACGGUGUAGCAGUGAAAUGCGUAGAUAUCGUGAGGAAUACCAGAGGCGAAGGCGGCUCCCUGGACAAUUGCUGACACUCAGGCACGAAAGCGUGGGGAGCAAAAGGG
rnacentral:rRNA from 1 species